GUUUGAAUAGUUCAAAUAAAAUAGAAUAGUAAUUUGUGGUAUUACUGGUAUAAUUAUUAUUUCAAGCC
rnacentral:tRNA from 1 species